rnacentral:rRNA from 1 species
UACGAACCGUCCAAACGUUAUUCGGAAUCACUGGGCUUACAGAGUUCGUAGGCGGUCUGGAAAGUUGGGUGUGAAAUCCCUCGGCUCAACCGAGGAACUGCGCUUGAAACUACCAGACUCGAGGGAGAUAGAGGAAAGCGGAACUGAUGGUGGAGCGGUGAAAUGCGUUGAUAUCCUAAGGAACACCAGUGGCGAAAGCGGCUCACUGGGUCUCUUCUGACGCUGAUGCACGAAAGCUAGGGUAGCGAACGGG